rnacentral:rRNA from 1 species
UACGUAGGGUGCAAGCGUUGUCCGGAAUCAUUGGGCGUAAAGCGCGUGUAGGCGGCCCGAUAAGUCCGCUGUGAAAGUCCAGGGCUCAACCCUGGAAUGCCGGUGGAUACUGUCGGGCUCGAGUCCGGAAGAGGCGAGUGGAAUUCCUGGUGUAGCGGUGAAAUGCGCAGAUAUCAGGAGGAACACCGAUGGCGAAGGCAGCUCGCUGGGACGGUACUGACGCUGAGACGCGAAAGCGUGGGGAGCGAACAGG